ACGAGUAAGACCGCAGUUUUAUGGCUCGUCGGUAAAGCUCGCCGGUGUAUCAUUGCAAAACCACGUGAUAUAUUUUUUACCACCGUCUUGCAA